GCUGACAAAAAAAAUUGUUCAAAUAUAAGUUGCUGAUUCAUUAUAUGUGUGGCAACAUAUUGCAAUACAAAAUUAAUAAGAAACUUUUUACUUAAUAAAAAAACUUAAGAUUAUUGAAUCGUUUUUUUGUUUUGAUAAUACCAGAUUUUUUUCAUCAAUUAAUCGAUCAUCGUAUGAGUUAGAAGUUUCUUUAGAAGAGAACAGUGACAGAUAUUGCAUGCGAUGCAUUUUUUUGUCCACGGUUCUGGAUUAUCGAUUGUACAGAAAAUGCUGCAAGAUAAUAGCGGGCUCUAUUUACAUGGAACGAUUAGCUAGUAAACUAUAUCGGACUGUACAGAAAAAGUAUGUGUUUGAGGAGAUUGAAGGGUAUAGCCGGUUAAAGGGGCCAAAACUGUCCUUCAGUCGAUUUAAACCGCUCUUUGACAUUCGAUAGAUCGUAAAAAGAAAAUCGUUUCUAUAAAACGUUAACUCUCUAUCGGAACCGGGGCGGGGUGGGGGGUAUAGGGUGCCCCCGGUUUAAUGGUUUACGAUUGAAUUUUCCAGUUUAAAUGCGUGUAUAAAUUUUUAAAAAAAUAUCACGAUUGUCGAAGUGCAUUAGUGACAAUUUUUUCUGAUUUUUAUGUAGGGUUGAACGCGUGUGUGAAUAAGAGUGCACGUGUAAGUUAUUUCGAUCAGCACAGCGAGACAAAUCCGAUAGUGCAAGCUUUAUACAAAAUAGUCAUGAAUGGAAAAGUUGGCGAUAUUAUACUUCGCUUGCAUUAGUGCGAAAGUGUAAAAAUCUUAAAACAGUUCUUACAAGUUCUUAUUUAACAUUACCAUGAACUGAUAUUAUUAAAAUAAGUUUUGUAUUUACAUUAUUACAUCUUAAAAUAAAUUUGUAUAACAUAAACCAGCA